rnacentral:lncRNA from 1 species
CUUGAAAGGAGAACUAAUCCUAUUAACGAGGGCCCCAGGCUUAUGACCCAAUAAUCUCCCCAAGAGCCCACCUCUUUAUACCAUCCCACUGAGCUUAAAAUUUCAAGAUAUACAUUUCUGUGGGGAAACGAAUUCAGUCCAUGCUUUACUCCAUCCUUCACCUCCUAUAAUUCAUAUCCUUCAUUCCAUCUCAACAACCCCAAAAGCCUUAACUAGUUUCAUCUUCAACUCUGAAGUUUAAAGUCCAAAGUCUCAUUUAAAUAUCAUCUAAAUCAGAGCCAGAAGGGUGGAGCAAGAUGGUGGAACAGAAGGCUCCACUGAUUAUCACCCCCACAGAGACAUCAAUUUAACAACUGUCAACACACACAAAAAAGCACUUUUAUAAGAACCAAAAGUAGGAAAAACAGUCUUGAAUUACCAAUCCACCCCUCCCCCAUAUUCUGGUAGUGGUGGGGUGGUGCAGAGUGUUCUGUGCUCUGGGGAGAAGGAGACCACAGCAGUUGUGAGGCAUAAAACUCAGUCCUGCCCUGUGAUAGCAGAAAAAAAAAAAAAAAAAAACUGGACCAAACUCAGCUGACUCCCACCCAUGAAGGGAGCAUUUAAACCAGCCCUACUUAGAGAGGAAUCACUAAUCCCAGAAGUCCGAAUUUGAAUUCCCAUAAACCUUGUCACUUUGGGGCCAAAGU